GACGAACGCUGGCGGCGUGCUUAAAACAUGCAAGUCGAACGGACUUCUCAUGAAGCUUGCGAUUGAGAAGUUAGUGGCGGACGGGUGAGUAACGCGUGGGCAACCUGCCCCUGAGCCCGGGAUAACAGUUCGAAAGGACUGCUAAGACCGGAUAUACUUGCGGUGAAGCAUUUCACUGCAAGGAAAGGGAACGCUCAGGGAUGGGCCCGCGUCCCAUUAGCUAGUUGGUGAGGUAAAGGCUCACCAAGGCGACGAUCUGUAGCGGGUCUGAGAGGAUGAUCCGCCACGACUGGAACUGAGACACGGUCCAGACUCCUACGGGAGGCAGCAGUGGGGAAUUUUGGACAAUGGGGGCAACCCUGAUCCAGCCAUGCCGCGUGAGUGAAGAAGGCCUUCGGGUUGUAAAGCUCUUUCGGUCCGGGAAGAAAUCGCAUGGGUUAAUACCCUGUGCGGAUGACGGUACCGGCAUAAGAAGCACCGGCUAACUACGUGCCAGCAGCCGCGGUAACG
rnacentral:rRNA from 1 species